GGACCCAUAACUAAGGAGCCAUAACUCCUUAAAAUAGAGAAGUAAGAAGUAGCAGAAGAAACUCUCAGAUCGAAGAAGAUUUCGAAAGACCUUUGGGUACAAUCCUCUCUUUUAGGGUUUUGGAAGAGAAAUAGAUCGAGAAUGGUUGCAAAUGGUGCACCUCCUCCAAGAGGCAGUGCUGCGGCGGCUGCCAGCUUGAGUCCGCGGAGGUCAACUGGUGGUGAAACUGCAUCAGGGGCCAAUGGCACAAUGCUCCAGUUUUACACUCAUGAUGCUCCAGGGCUUAAGAUUUCUCCUAAUGUUGUGCUUAUCCAAAAAUUAAACAACCUGAUUAUUGUUUUAUUUCCUCCCUACGUUUGCUAUUUAUUCUUUUGAAAGUUUUAGGGGCUUGAAUUGGAAUAUUCAAUGUACAUUUUGAUAAGCAAGUUUGUUUGUGGUAAGGAUGUGAUUUCGUUAUUGUGAA